rnacentral:rRNA from 1 species
UUACGACCAUAUCACUUUGAAGCACCUGUUCCCAUACGAACACCGAAGUUAAGCAACGUCGAACCUGGUCAGUACCUAGAUGUAUGACAACUUGGGAAUAUCAAAUGCUGUAA